UCCCUAGUGGCUCAGAGGUUAAAGCAUCUGCCUGCAAUGCGGGAGACCUGGGUUUGAUCCCUGGGUUGGGAA
rnacentral:tRNA from 1 species